AGAGAGAGAGAAGUAAAGUUCAGGACUGCGGGUUAAUGAAAGCACAGAGAAAAGCAGACACCACACAGCCCAGGGAGAAAGGAGGAGAAAGGAGGAGAAAGGAGGAGAAAGGAGGAGAGGAGACUGUCUGGGAUGGUUAAUUGGCACCUUAUAUGACCCGCCAGGAAUCAAACCCGUGUGGUUUGUGUGUCUUCAGACUGUGUUAGCCCGCUGAACUGAAGCCUGAUUGUCAGCUGUAAUAUAUGACGUGGGACUUCAGACAUGGUAGCAGCAACGCUGCAAAGGGCACAUUCACCAUGUGUCAGUGUCAACAAACUAACUAAGCCAGAAAACGUGAGCCUCUCUGUCAGACGUGUGACUGAGAGAAGCCAGCAGGCCAGCCUCAACAGAAGGAGGAGGAAUGCUACAGACAGAGACCCCGGGCAGAGACACCAGGCAGAGGAAAGGAGAGGAGGAUGAAUGCUACAGACAGAGACCCCGGGCAGAGGAAAGGAGAGGAGGAGGAAUGCUACAGACAGAGACCCCGGGCAGAGACACCAGGCAGAGGAAAGGAGAGGAGGAUGAAUGCUACAGACAGAGACCCCGGGCAGAGGAAAGGAGAGGAGGAGGAAUGCUACAGACAGAGACCCCGGGCAGAGGAAAGGAGAGGAGGAGGAAUGCUACAGACAGAGACCCGGGCAGAGACACCAGGCAGAGGAAAGGAGAGGAGGAUGAAUGCUACAGACAGAGACCCCGGGCAGAGGAAAGGAGAGGAGGAGGAAUGCUACAGACAGAGACCCGGGCAGAGACACCAGGCAGAGGAAAGGAGAGGAGGAUGAAUGCUACAGACAGAGACCCCGGGCAGAGGAAAGGAGAGGAGGAGGAAUGCUACAGACAGAGACCCGGGCAGAGACACCAGGCAGAGGAAAGGAGAGGAGGAUGAAUGCUACAGACAGAGACCCCGGGCAGAGGAAAGGAGAGGAGGAGGAAUGCUACAGACAGAGACCCGGGCAGAGACACCAGGCAGAGGAAAGGAGAGGAGGAUGAAUGCUACAGACAGAGACCCCGGGCAGAGGAAAGGAGAGGAGGAGGAAUGCUACAGACAGAGACCCGGGCAGAGACACCAGGCAGAGGAAAGGAGAGGAGGAUGAAUGCUACAGACAGAGACCCCGGGCAGAGGAAAGGAGAGGAGGAGGAAUGCUACAGACAGAGACCCGGGCAGAGACACCAGGCAGAGGAAAGGAGAGGAGGAUGAAUGCUACAGACAGAGACACCAGG